rnacentral:rRNA from 1 species
AUUGAACGCUGGCGGCAGGCCUAACACAUGCAAGUCGAACGGUAACAGGAAGCAGCUUGCUGCUUUGCUGACGAGUGGCGGACGGGUGAGGAAUGUCUGGGAAACUGCCCGAUGGAGGGGGAUAACUACUGGAAACGGUAGCUAAUACCGCAUAACGUCGCAAGACCAAAGAGGGGGACAUUAGGGCCUCUUGCCAUCGGAUGUGCCCAGAUGGGAUGAGCUAGUAGGUGGGGUAACGGCUCACCUAGGCGACGAUCCCUAGCUGGUCUGAGAGGAUGACCAGCCACACUGGAGCUGAGCCACGGUCCAGACUCCUACGGGAGGCAGCAGUCGGCAAUAUUGCACAAUGGGCGCAAGCCUGAUGCAGCCAUGCCGCGUCUAUGAAGACGGCCUUCGGGUUGUAAAGUACUUUCAGCGGGGAGGAAGGGAGUACAGUUAAUACCUUUGCUCAUUGACGUUACCCGCAGAAGAAGCACCGGCUAACUCCGUG